CAGUUCAGCUCCUAUUGCCUGAGGACCCCCAGCUGCUGCCCAGGAAACAGGAGAUGUGAUACUGUUCGGUGGGACCCAGUGAGAAGCCAGUGCCAUCAUCCUUCCUCGAUCAGGCUGCUUUAUGCCUGGAGAAGUACUCAUACCUGUAGUCUUCUCUCAGAUCUGCUCUGCCUCCAGCCGUCUCCAGAGGAGGAUGCACAUGAAGAUAUAUUACAUAUUCUUCUGUUACUGAUCAACAUCACAGCUGCAGAACUAUUCAAUGAAUGAUUAAAUAUCAGAGAAACUGAACUGGUCAGCAUCAGCAUAUGUAUGGACAGAGUAGCUACCAUGAAUGGAUGGCUUUCUGGUUUCACUAUUCUGGUCAAAAAGGUGACUUCCGAAUGUGAGUCUACACACUGUGUCAUUCAAAGAGGAAUCUGAAAAUGUGCAAAAAAUGUCAUCUGAAUUUAACAGUAUUUUGCAGAAUGUGAAUAAAAUUAUCAAGUGUAUUAAAGAACAUGCUCUCUACUUA